UGUGGGUGGGGACAAAGCACUUGACUGUGGGAAGAGAAGUUAAGUAGAGCAACAGAUAUCAACUCUGAAUCAAGAAACAUGCAGUGCAUUUAUACCAGGAUACCAGUCUGUCAAGCCUGUCUGCAGUCACUGAAAGAAAUCUAAGAAAAUCCUCAACCUGAGAACUCAUACAUGCUUAACACCACAGCCAUGGCUGUAGACAGAAACUAGAUACCCUCAGGCAGUAAGACAUUUUCUCCUUCCACUGGGAGUUAAGCUGCUGCAGUCUAUAGGAUAGAGGCUUACACAGGAGCAGUUACCAUCAGUGGCCAGUCAUCCAGCCAGUCAUGCCUCUGCUGCGUUUAGCCUGUUAAAUUGAAGGAGCCUAGGGUGGAAUUCCAUCUCCAGAGAUACAUUUUUCCACCCAAAAUUGUGCAUCCCCGCUUGGAGAUUUUGGGUUAACAAGUUGAAACCCAUGGCAAAUGUGCCAUUAACUUCAACGUGGAAACAGGUCAGACCCAUACCACACUGUAUAAUCUGUAAAUGUUUUUCCAGAAGUUCUGUGAGAGUUAAAUGCAGGAUAUUUUUCUCUAGUUAGCUAAGAUACAAUCUAUGAACUUACAAAUAAGUUGUGUGUGUGGUAUUGUUUUGAAUAAG